CCUACGGGUGGCAGCAGUGAGGAAUAUUGGUCAAUGGGCGGAAGCCUGAACCAGCCAAGUAGCGUGCAGGAUGACGGCCCUACGGGUUGUAAACUGCUUUUAUACGGGAAUAACGCGCCUUACGUGUAGGGCUUUGCAUGUACCGGAUGAAUAAGGACCGGCUAAUUCCGUGCCAGCAGCCGCGGUAAUACGGAAGGUCCGGGCGUUAUCCGGAUUUAGUGGGUUUAAAGGGAGCGUAGGCCGCAUGUCAAGCGUGCUGUGAAAUGGUCGGGCCUAACCCCGGCCGUGCAGCGCGAACGGGCGUGCUAGAGUCCGCGGAAAGCAGGCGGAAUUCGUCGUGUAGCGGUGAAAUGCUUAGAUAUGACGAAGAACCCCGAUUGCGAAGGCAGCUUGCUGCAGCGGAACUGACGCUGAUGCUCGAAAGCGCGGGUAUCGAACAGGAUUAGAUACCCUUGUAGUC
rnacentral:rRNA from 1 species